AACACAAUUUUGCAUACCUAUACAUACAUCUACGCGAUCUACGUUUGAAGCGAAGGUAGCAUAAGAAAAAUAGUCACUUGUUUAGCUAGCAAGUUAGCGUCCCUUCCAGUACAAACUACAGUGAUCUUGUAGGGAUAAUAUAAUAUUGUGGGAAAAAAAAAGAGAGGGGGAAAUUUUUAGAUAAAAACUGCGCACUAAUGUAAAAGUUUGUAGAAGCUUAGCAACCCUGCUAUUGGAAAAAACAUAUGGUUAUUGUUUUCAAUUUUUCCGAAAAUGGCAGCAAAAGAUUUUUAGCUGCAAAAGGUUUAAUUAAUGUAAAUAGAAAUCUUAAAAAUGUGCAACGUAAUUAUGGUUACAAAAACAACACAACGCAUCAACCAUCAAAAACUUAUGGAAAAUAUAUAUGGAUUAUUGGCGGCGGUGCGACUGCGAUCAUUUGCAUAAAUUUAUUCAAAUCCGGGACUAAUUCAGUGAAAGCAUUUAAUAUGAGACACUCAAAGGUGAAUACUUUUCCAGAUAGAAUAAACUUCUAUACAAGCUCUUGUCAAAGGCUGCCGUACAAAACUGAUGUUAAAGACAUGUAGAAUAAUUGACGUCAAAUUUCUCGAACAGCUUAAAUGCUGGAAACCAUUUAGUCAUUCCCAUUUUCGUCCAUUUAUAUAAAAUAUUAUUUCCAAGAGCCGUUCUAUGAAUAACUGUAUUAAGCGAAGUCGUGCAAGUAUGAUGAAGAUUCAACAAUAAGCAAAUUAACAGCACGUGAAAGACGUUUUAUCAAGUUUGCGUCCAGUGAAUAUGACGGGCAAUUAUACAUGACACCACAAGAUUUUUUUUUUAGAAUCAGUUGUCGAACAAGAACCCAGAUGUAAAUAUAUUAAUGAACACACCAAGCAACUUUCUGCUUAAUUCCAAAUAAAUUUUUUGUUUUAUAAAAUGAAGCUCGCUUGAAACGUCGCAUACUAACUGAACGUGAUAUAAAUUCAAUGCGUGAUGAAACUCCACCGUUGAAGAAAGGUUCAAAUCAAUUGUCUAGAAAAUUAAGGGAUCGAGGUAGCUUCAUAUACACAUAAAGUUGAAUUUAGUGUUUUG